rnacentral:lncRNA from 1 species
CCAGCCCACUCCCAAGGAGACAUACGGCGAUCCUUUUGAUCGCCUCCCCCAGGACCCUGCCCCAUCCAUUACUGCUUCUCUCAGUUUCAUCAUCAGUCAAUCUCUCCCUCUCUACUGGCUUCUUUCCCUUUGCUUAUAACCGUGUCCAAGAACUUCCAGCUUGGCAACAGACUAGCCAAGUUUGGCUUCAUUCCCUGGAUUCUGAUCUCAUUUCUUGGCGCAGAGUAUUGUUGGAAUGCUAUCUACUGCUAAUGAGCCCUCUUUGGGCACAGCUCCAGGACCUCCCACAUAUGGGUACUUGUUGGGUACUCUGUAUACCACAGCUUAGGGCAUAUAAAGCCAGGCCUACCUGCAGCAAUGGGCAUUAGGAGUCAGAAGUACAAUAACUGUGGAAAUAACUUCAAACAAUAGAGAAAGAAGAAGGAAGAGUCAAGCAUAACACCAAAGGAUAGCAGGGCCAUUAUUGACAUUGGAAUCUCAGGAGCAGAGGCAUUUGGUGAGGGAGCCAAUAUCUGCAAGGAGAUCCAGAAAUGCCUAGGGUUUACAUCUCCCUGGCAAGGGCCCUACAAAUGACUCCUGGUACAGAAGUUUAAAGUCUCCAGCUUCCUUGCCCCAGUCCAGACCGCUCUGAGAUCCCUCUGAAAAGUGGCCAGAGUGGCUCAAGAGAAGGCUGGAGACAGAGGCAAACAGAGCCCUGACCACAUAGGCUUGGCGCAACAGGCAAAGAGCUUGCACUUAACCCGACAGGAAUGUCAGGCCUCUGAGCCCAAG